rnacentral:lncRNA from 1 species
GGGGAACAUGCCUGGACCCACAGACUGCGUGAGAGAAAGCAGCUGGUGAUUUAUGAAGAGAUCAGCGACCCUGAGGAAGAUGACGAGUAACUCCCCUCGGGGAUAUGACACAUGCCCAUGAUGAGAAGCAGAACGUGGUGACCUUUCACGAACAUGGGCAUGGCUGCGGACCCCUCGUCAUCAGGUGCAUAGCAAGUGAAAGCAAGUGUUCACAACAGUGAAAAGUUGAGCGUCAUUUUUCUUAGUGUGCCAAGAGUACGAUAUUAGCAUUUCCGUUGUAUUUUCUUGCAGUGUGUCAUUCUGUUAGAUAUUAACAUUUUCACUGAUGAGCAAGACAUACUUAAUGCAUAUUUUGGUUUGUGUAUCCAUGCACCUACCUUAGAAAAGAAGUAUUGUCAGUUACCUCUGCAUGGAACAGCAUUACCCUCCUUUCUCCCCAGAUGUGACUACUGAGGGCAGUUCUGAGUGUUUAAUUUCAGAUUUUUUCCUCUGCAUUUACACACACACACAAACCACACCACACACACACACACACACACACACACACACCAAGUACCAGUAUAAGCAUCUCCCAUCUGCUUUUCCCAUUGCCAUGCGUCCUGGUCAGGCUUCCCUCACUCUGUUUCCUGGUCAGCAUGUACUCCCCUCAUCCGAUUCCCCUGUAGCAGUCACUGACAGUAAAUAAACCUUGC